rnacentral:misc_RNA from 1 species
UCCGAGUUGUCCCCGGCAGUCCUUUUAGAGUCCCCGGCAUUACCCGCUGGCAACUAAAAGCAGGGGUUGCGCUCGUCGCGGGACUUAACCCAACAUCUCACGACACGAGCUGACGACAGCCAUGCACCACCUGUGAUGGUGUCCCGAAGGAAAGCCGUGUUUCCACGGCGGUCACCAACAUGUCAAGGCCAGGUAAGGUUCUUCGCGUUGCAUCGAAUUAAACCACAUACUCCACCGCUUGUGCGGGCCCCCGUCAAUUUCUUUGAGUUUUAAUCUUGCGACCGUACUCCCCAGGCGGAUAACUUAAUGCGUUAGCUGCGCCACCAAAAGCCUAAGGCCCCUGACAGCUAGUUAUCAUCGUUUACGGCGUGGACUAC